CACCCUUUAUUUUAACCAGAAGAAAGAAACGCGUUAGUCCAGUACAUCAAAAUUAUAUCCGCGAAAUUGAGGGGCGAUAGGAAAUAAUAAAUGGCAAUUGCACAUUUUACAGAAUUGAAACGUUUACACGAGCAUUAUUAGGCCCGAACUAAAACGAUUGAUUGCCCUCAAACUAAUUCAGUGCAUUUUAAAUACGACAUUUCCAAGAUUUGCAUGGGAUAAAAUGAAUAAUAGACGAGUGACGGGGAGAUAAAUAAUCCGCAAACAUGUUCAACGAUUAUUAUUAUUCAGAAAAUUAGUUAAAAUGCGGAAUUUUGAUUUUAGGUAACUUUAUUUAUCUCUAAACUCCACGCGACAGAAAAUAACGUAGAAAUAAAAGCCGUUCGCGCAAUGAGAUAAUUUGCCAGCGGGUUUUAAUAUAAUUGCAUAAUCGCUUCCGAAUUACUGACAAUACUACCGAUUAACCUUUGUGAGGCGGCUAGGAUACAUUUUCUAAUUAAUAAUCGAAAUAUUUACCAUGUAUAUUGUUGCGCAGAGACGAGGGGGGUGAAAAUCAUAAACUGAUGACAUUUCCAUGGUUCUAUUGUAGCCAGUGGAAGUGCAAAAUAAACAAUUCUUAACCAUUUAGAACUUCAAAAUACUAACGGCAUUAUAGUUACUUGCCUCUAGGUCGUUUGUACACGAGCACAUCGAUGACUGAAACAUUUGGAUGAGAGAUGUGUAGCUUCUGGUUGCGCCACUUCAAGAAAUUAAAGAAAUGCCCCUUCAGCUCGGAAUGCGGAGCCAGGUAUCCCGUUGUUACACGUGUGCUUCAUCUGGAAGUCAGCGGUCUUUGUGCACCUGCACCCGCUUCAGCCGAUGUAGAACUAAAAGCUGAGUGCAGUUUUAUAUUCAUUCGAGACGAAUUUCAAUGAGAGUGGUAAUGGGCGUCCUUCUUUUCUUCUGGACUCACUCACUCACGGACUCUGGGCUCAGCCACACCUCCGGGGAUUUAUUCUCCUCAUCCCAGUGAUUGACAGCAGGUGCCGGAAGCGGCGUUACCUUCAUGGUGACUGACAGGAGAGAAGACCAAUCUGCUGAUCUCACAAUUUUUUAGACCUUCAUAACUUUUGUAAUAUUCCACCAAUCGGAACAAAACUUGGUACGCUUGGAGAAGAGGAGAACAGCGAGUAAGCAGGGGGGAGGGACUAUAAAGCCAGAAAGUGGUGUGCCACACAGUCUCUUCAAGAUGGAGGAAGGCAGAGGGUCACGUUUCUCUGAGCUGUGAAUAACACUGAACACAUGUCUACUCAAAUAAGAUUCAAACUUCACACUAAAACACUGGGUGGCUAAUGCUGUGGUACGAAGCAGAAGAUAAUGGUGGAAGAUUGUGUUUACGACUAGAGGCCUGUGACUAGUGGUGCACCUCAAGGAUUAUUGCUGUUCGUCAUUUAUAUCAAUGAUCUGGAUGAGAAUGUACAUAACAUAUUUGCAUCUGGCCCGCAGUUGAAACUGUAAUCCCAUGAUCAGGGGAAAAGGUGGACGUAGAACAUUUAACAUUUGAUGUGCAGGAGGCGUGGCAAAACAGCCGAAAAAAGACGCCAGGUGUCACACUGACUGCUAUAAGAAAAACAAACAGACGGACAGGGGUGAGUCCGUAAUGGCCGUCUUGCAAGCAGCCUGUCAUGGCUCUUCUCUGUUUUUGUUGUUUUCAGUGUGUGUUAAAGGUAUGUUUUGGUGUUUCUGCGUAUGUUUUAUGUGGGAGAGGGUGCGGGGAAUAGGGGGAAACUUUUCUUGUUGUGUUGCAAUCCGUCUCGACGCCAGAGUUUCGAUCAUCCCGACGAGAGAGUCUGAACAUCGGGCCGUUGUCAGUGGGGAGUGUUGAUUACACUGUACUGGAUGUUAAUGUUGAAUUGUGUUGGUUGUUAUUGAAUCGUUGUUUUUGCAAUGUUGAUUCCACUGUAGUUGAUGCUUAUGUUAAAUUGUGUUAAAUGGUUGUGUUAAAUUAAAUCGUUAUUUUUGCACAAUAAAUGCGAAGUUGAUCUUAA